rnacentral:rRNA from 1 species
CACGUAGGGCGCGAGCGUUGUCCGGAAUUAUUGGGCGUAAAGAGCUCGUAGGCGGCCUGUUGCGUCCGCUGUGAAAGCCCCGGGGCUUAACCCCGGGUCGGCAGUGGAUACGGGCAGGCUAGAGGUAGGUAGGGGAGAAUGGAAUUCCCGGUGUAGCGGUGAAAUGCGCAGAUAUCGGGAGGAACACCGGUGGCGAAGGCGGUUCUCUGGGCCUUACCUGACGCUGAGGAGCGAAAGCGUGGGGAGCAAACAGG